AUUGAACGCUGGCGGCAUGCCUUACACAUGCAAGUCGAACGGCAGCGCGGACUUCGGUCUGGCGGCGAGUGGCGAACGGGUGAGUAAUACAUCGGAACGUACCCUGUUGUGGGGGAUAACUAGUCGAAAGAUUAGCUAAUACCGCAUACGACCUGAGGGUGAAAGUGGGGGACCGCAAGGCCUCACGCAGCAGGAGCGGCCGAUGUCUGAUUAGCUAGUUGGUGGGGUAAAGGCCCACCAAGGCGACGAUCAGUAGCUGGUCUGAGAGGACGAUCAGCCAGACGGGGACUGAGACACGGCCCAGACUCCUACGGGAGGCAGCAGUGGGGAAUUUUGGACAAUGGGGGCAACCCUGAUCCAGCAAUGCCGCGUGUGUGAAGAAGGCCUUCGGGUUGUAAAGCACUUUUGUCCGGAAAGAAAUCGCGCUGGUUAAUACCUGGCGUGGAUGACGGUACCGGAAGAAUAAGCACCGGCUAACUACGUGCCAGCAGCCGCCGUAA
rnacentral:rRNA from 1 species